GGAGCUGUAGCUCAGUUGGUUGUAGCGCGCGACUGUUAAUCGCGAGGUCAAAAGUUCGAGCCCUUUCAGCUCCG
rnacentral:tRNA from 1 species